ACGGAGGAUGCAAGCGUUAUCCGGAUUCAUUGGGUUUAAAGGGUGCGCAGGCGGAUUAAUAAGUCAGUGGUGAAAUCCUACGGCUCAACUGUAGAACUGCCAUUGAUACUGUUAGUCUUGAGUAUUGUAGAGGUAGGCGGAAUGUGUCACGUAGCGGUGAAAUGCUUAGAUAUGAGGAGGAACACCGGUGGCGAAGGCAGCUUCCUGGGCAAAUACUGACGCUGACGCGCGAAAGCGUGGGGAGCAAACAG
rnacentral:rRNA from 1 species